AUGACGCUGGCGGCUAGGCUACACAUGCAGUCGAACGGGAUCUUCGGAUCUAGUGGCGGACGGGUUAGUAACGCGUGGGAACGUACCCUUUUCUACGGAAUAGCCUCGGGAAACUGAGAGUAAUACCGUAUACGCCCUUCGGGGGAAAGAUUUAUCGGAGAAGGAUCGGCCCGCGUAAGAUUAGAUAGUUGGUGGGGUAAUGGCCUACCAAGUCUACGAUCUUUAGCUGGUUUGAGAGGAUGAUCAGCAACACUGGGACUGAGACACGGCCCAGACUCCUACGGGAGCGCAGCAGUGGGGAAUCUUAGACAAUGGGGGAAACCCUGAUCUAGCCAUGCCGCGUGAGUGACGAAGGCCUUAGGGUCGUAAAGCUCUUUCGCUGGGGAAGAUAAUGACUGUACCCAGUAAAGAAAACCCGGCUAACUCCGUGCCAGCAGACGCCGGUAAUACACGAGGGGGUUACGCGUUGUUCGGAAUUACUGGGCGUAAAGCGCGCGUAAGCAGGACUGGAAAGUAUCGGGGGUGAAAUCCCGGGGCUCCAAACCCGGAACGGCUCCAAAACUAUCAGUCUAGAGUUCGACGAAAAGUUGACGUGGAAUUCCGAGUGUAGAGGUGAAAUUCG
rnacentral:rRNA from 1 species